UACAGAGGUCUCAAGCGUUGUUCGGAUUCAUUGGGCGUAAAGGGUGUGUAGGUGGCGCCGUAAGUCGGGUGUGAAAUUUUAGAGCUUAACUCUGAAACUGCAUUCGAUACUGCGGUGCUUGAGGACUGGAGAGGAGACUGGAAUUUACGGUGUAGCAGUGAAAUGCGUAGAUAUCAGGAGGAACACCGGUGGCGAAGGCGGGUCUCUGGGCCGUUACUGACGCUGAGGAGCGAAAGCGUGGGGAGCGAACAGG
rnacentral:rRNA from 1 species